rnacentral:rRNA from 1 species
GAUGAACGCUGGCGGCGUGCUUAACACAUGCCAGUCGAACGGGAAACCUUUUAUUGAAGCUUCGGCAGAUUUAGCUGGUUUCUAGUGGCGGACGGGUGAGUAACGCGUGGGUAACCUGCCUUAUACAGGGGGAUAACAGUCAGAAAUGGCUGCUAAUACCGCAUAAGCGCACAGAGCUGCAUGGCUCAGUGUGAAAAACUCCGGUGGUAUAAGAUGGACCCGCGUUGGAUUAGCUGGUUGGUGGGGUAACGGCCCACCAAGGCGACGAUCCAUAGCCGGCCUGAGAGGGUGAACGGCCACAUUGGGACUGAGACACGGCCCAGACUCCUACGGGAGGCAGCAGUGGGGAAUAUUGCACAAUGGGGGAAACCCUGAUGCAGCGACGCCGCGUGAAGGAAGAAGUAUCUCGGUAUGUAAACUUCUAUCAGCAGGGAAGAUAAUGACGGUACCUGACUAAGAAGCCCCGGCUAACUACGU